UACGGGGGGGCAAGCGUUGUUCGGAAUUACUGGGCGUAAAGGGCUCGUAGGUGGCCAACUAAGUCAGACGUGAAAUCCCUCAGCUUAACUGGGGAACUGCGUCUGAUACUGGAUGGCUUGAGUUUGGGAGAGGGAUGCGGAAUUCCAGGUGUAGCGGUGAAAUGCGCAGAUAUCAGGAGGAACACCCGUAGCGAAGGCGGCACUCUGGGCCGGCACUGACGCUGAGGAGCGAAAGCGUGGGGAGCGAACAGG
rnacentral:rRNA from 1 species